UACGGAGGGGGUUAGCGUUGUUCGGAAUGACUGGGCGUAAAGCGCGCGUAGGCGGAUCAGUAAGAUGGGGGUGAAAUCCCGAGGCUCAACCUCGGAAUGGCCUUCAAAACUCCUGGUCUUGAGUUCGAGAGAGGUGAGUGGAAUUCCGAGUGUAGAGGUGAAAUUCGUAGAUAUUCGGAGGAACACCAGUGGCGAAGGCGGCUCACUGGCUCGACACUGACGCUGGGGUGCGAAAGCGUGGGGAGCAAACAGG
rnacentral:misc_RNA from 1 species